AUCAUGCAGAAAGGCUACUGUUAAUAGAGAAUAGAAGCAGGUUGAGUAUAUAGUUGAUUAGAAUAUCUUUAUGCAAAUAUAUUUUUAUAGAAAAGUGACAGCACCAUUUCGGUGACUAAUAAAUGUGACUUGGUCAAAAACUAUAAAAGUCACGUUCACUGUAGAACGGGUAUAAAGCGUCGAAGCCACUAGAUGAAUGGCUGAAUUCUGAACGAUCUGGAAGAUAUCUUGAAAUAUUAGAAUGUAUAUCGACUGCAUACUGGACCGCUAGAAUGUUGCCGAAAAUUCUUAAUUAAUCCUCAAAUCUCCGCAGUUUUUCAAUUGUUAAUAGUAAAAUUAGCAUUUCCUUUAAUUUCAUUCAUUUUACGAAUGUAUUUAAUAAAAUAAAUAAUACAAUAAAAAAUUGGUCUUAUCCGCGGUCGGUACUAACUAAAUUCGCAGGCGAAUGAGCGGAUCUUUCACUGAUGAAUAAAGUUUGGAAGCUUUCAAGUCAUGAUUUGCAGAACGAAGGCGUGGAUGAAGAAAAAAUAACAAGGGAAGGGCAACAACUGACGUUUAAGUAAAAAUAUUCUGAAACGCUUGCUUAUAAUUAGAAUACAUUAAUCAAAAGUAAUUUCGCAAAUAUUAUAAAUGUAAUUAUUCUCAAAAUUAAACACGCCCGUAUUUGUGAAAGGAAAGAAAAAUAUGGUAGGAACAUUGA